rnacentral:rRNA from 1 species
AUUGAACGCUGGCGGCAUGCCUUACACAUGCAAGUCGAACGGCAGCAUGGAGGAGCUUGCUCCUCUGAUGGCGAGUGGCGAACGGGUGAGUAAAGCAUCGGAACGUACCGUGUAGUGGGGGAUAACGUAGCGAAAGUUACGCUAAUACCGCAUACGCACUGAGGUGGAAAGCAGGGGAUCGCAAGACCUUGCGCUAUACGAGCGGCCGAUGUCAGAUUAGCUAGUUGGUAGGGCAAAGGCCUACCAAGGCGACGAUCUGUAGCGGGUCUGAGAGGAUGAUCAGUCACACUGGAACUGAGACACGGUCCAGACUCCUACGGGAGGCAGCAGUGGGGAAUAUUGGACAAUGGGCGAAAGCCUGAUCCAGCCAUGCCGCGUGUGUGAAGAAGGUCUUCGGAUUGUAAAGCACUUUAAGUUGGGAGGAAGGGCAGUAACCUAAUACGUUAUUGUUUUGACGUUACCGACAGAAUAAGCACCGG